GACGAACGCUGGCGGCGUGCCUAAUACAUGCAAGUAGAACGCAGUUGCGAACGGGUGAGUAACGCGAAGGUAACUGCCUCAUAGAGGGGGAUAACUAUUGGAAACGAUAGCUAAUACCGCAUACUGUGAGACGGACCUGCGUUGUAUUAGCUAGUUGGUGAGGUAAAGGCUCAACAAGGCGACGAUACAUAGCCGACCUGAGAGGGUGAGCGGCCAGACUGGGACUGAGACACGGCCCAGACGCCUUGGGGAGGCAGCAGUAGUGAUGCUUGGGGAAUGGACGGAGGUCUUACCGAGCAGCGCCGCGUGAGUGAGGAAGGUUUUCGGAUCGUAAAGCUCUGUUGUUAGAGUAGCGGUAAUUAACCAGAAAGGGACGGCUAACUACGUGCCAGCAGCCGCGGUAAUUC
rnacentral:rRNA from 1 species